rnacentral:rRNA from 1 species
CGUGUAGGCGGCCAGAUAGGUCUGCUGUGAAAACUCGAGGCUCAACCUCGAGCUGUCGGCGGAAACCAUCUGGCUAGAGUCCGGAAGAGGAGAGUGGAAUUCCCGGUGUAGCGGUGAAAUGCGCAGAUAUCGGGAAGAACACCUGUGGCGAAGGCGGCUCUCUGGGACGGUACUGACGCUGAGAGCGAAAGCGUGGGGAGCAACA